UUAACAGGUUCACACUUGCUGACGUGGGAGUCUGUCUUUUUAUAAACUGUCAGCUGAUUGCCUUCGAGGUACCACUACGUCUUCUUACGUGACAUAACCUAAUGUGUACAUUUCCUCAACACUUUAAAUGCAAAUCAAUCCGAGUCAAUUUUAACACAAGUCUGUAGAAAACGUCAAUUCAUGUGCAAAGUUCUAACGUGAAAAGGAGUAUGGAUGAAACGUCGCUACGUUAAUACUCUUGAAUUUAACUCAAGGUAGCUGCUAAACGUCAGGUGGAUCUACAUUAUAUUUUAAGAGAUGUCAAGGUCACACGGCAUCGGUUUCAGUGCCAAAAUUCCACCUCCGUGGGCCUGAUCCAGGUGUCUAAGAAAGAACUAUAUAUAAGACGUUUAAUUUCACUUUACAUUGAUUUUGUGGCUACCAUACUGCACUCGUUUAAUUUCUAUUUACUCCGUACAACAUAGAAAUGAAUUGAAGUAUAGACAGCAGGCCGAAAAAACGAUUCGGUAGAAUUUCAUAUUCAAUCGGCUUCCUUCGAAUUCGAGUAAACCGAGAAAUUUUAAUGGAAAUAUUAGACCGUUUCAACGAGAAAGUAUUAGCCUUGAUUUCCAAGAACGAUACAUGUCAAUGUCAUGUGACAUCCAUUCCAAAGACAACGAGGCCCUAACUCCUGAUCUGAAAACAAGCGGUGAAGGAUUGUAGAGAAUCAUUUCGGCGAUAAAAAAAGGCGAGGGUCUAACCGAAAUACACUAUAUCUAAAAUAUC